CACGAACCGCACGAACGUUAUUCGGAAUUACUGGGCUUAAAGGGUUUGUAGGCGGCCAUGUAAGUCAGGUGUGAAAUCCCUCGGCUCAACCGAGGAACGGCGCUUGAUACUGCAUGGCUUGAGGGAGACAGGGGUAAGCGGAACUGAUGGUGGAGCGGUGAAAUGCGUUGAUAUCAUCAGGAACACCGGUGGCGAAAGCGGCUUACUGGGUCUCUUCUGACGCUGAGGAACGAAAGCUAGGGUAGCGAACGGG
rnacentral:rRNA from 1 species